GGCGACCAGCCUCUUGUAAACCUUGGAGGCCGCCCGACGUAGAGCGAUCCGGACCUGACAGUACUGCUGGCCAACCUACAAACGGCCAUUGAAAUGGGCAGAAAAUCCAAAAAGCAGCCGGCAAAUACCGUCAGGACACAUCGCGACAUUGGCCAGAUGCUGCAAUCCCUGACACCAGUGCCGGCGUCAUGUGAGUCCUCACCCUCGCAGGAACCAUCACCCUCAUGAUCAGAGGGCAGGGUCUCACCUCGGAGCCCAGCGUCGACUAACAGAGGGACACCACGCACAUCGGAGGCAACAGCUCCUGCAACCAAACUCGAAAUACAGGACAUGCUCACCGGCUUCCAGCACAAUCUCCGGAGAAUGUGGGAAGCGGACCUGGCAGUACUCACCACUGAUGUACAGCCCGUCACAGCGUGCACCCAAGACACCGAGGAAGAAGUUCUCGACCUAAAACAAGACCUGAGGGCGCUGGGGGAAAAGGUACAACAUAUACAACCAGCUCAGACCGAAACAUGCAGACAGGUGAACAUACCAGAUGGCAGGGGACGGAGAAAGAAUAUUAAGAUGCGGCGGUCCUAGAAUCAAUCCCUCUAGAAGAGUUAAUACACUGUGUAUAGGAUCGCUAAGUCCCCACAGGCCCCAGCCUCCGCACCUCGCGAGAUUAUACUUAGAUGCCAAACUAUUUAAGACAAAAUGGGGCUGUUAGUGGCACUAAAGGGACAGUCUCCUUACAAUUUCGAACUGUGCCAAAUCUCAUUCUUCCAGAGCAGAGCCAACUUGUUGUGGACAAAAUCUAUGCAACCCCUCAUGAAAAUUCUACAAACGGAAGGCCUGACCUACCAGUGGGCGUCACUAAGGAGUGGAAGUCGUACAAGGCUACAGAACCGGCUGAAAUUCCUCCCCUACUGGCCGUACUGGGCCUCUCCUCGCAAAGUGCCCCCAAACCAAGGACUGCCUUGCACUCCCUCCCAAACUGUAGCUGCCAUACCCACAUUCAAACCCAGAAGAGAUGAGGUCUACGACCUAAAAAGAUCUCAGCACCUGGCCAACUCAUGCUGCAGUGUUUUACUUCUUGUUUAUUUCUUUAAAUAUGUUUUGACUGUUAAUUACCUUUUUUCGGUACCUGCUGACGUAUUGUCCUCCCACACCUAUGUGGGGAGGUAACAGCACCUCAUCCACUCUGUCACUGACAUGCACACAAAGCACUCUUCAUGGGAUCCAUUACCGUCAUCAACCCCUUAACCCCAGGGCACUGGGGGUAAAGAAAGCAGGGGUACGAGAGGUUCCGCCCCACGACCAAGGACACAGGUCUAGCUAGACACAUUAAUGGGACUAACCUCCGGGCCCCAAACCGCACUCGCCCUUCUCUUAUAGUAUAUCCACUAGCUCCCCA